rnacentral:rRNA from 1 species
UACGUAGGGUGCGAGCGUUGUCCGGAUUUAUUGGGCGUAAAGGGCUCGUAGGCGGCCUGUCGCGUCGGGAGUGAAAGCCCACUGCUUAACGGUGGGUCUGCUUCCGGUACGGGCGGGCUAGAGUAUGGCAGGGGAGACUGGAAUUCCUGGUGUAGCGGUGGAAUGCGCAGAUAUCAGGAGGAACACCGGUGGCGAAGGCGGGUCUCUGGGCCAUUACUGACGCUGAGGAGCGAAAGCAUGGGGAGCGAACAGG